UGAUGAUGAUGAAGAUGCUGAUAGUAAUCAUAAUACUAUUUUAAAUAAUGCACACCAUUUUAUUUAGUAUUUAUUAAGUCCAGGGCCUUAAGUGAUACAAUGAGGAAUUUGAUCUUACCAGCAACUCUGCCAGGUCAUUACCAUCCCCGGCUUAUGGAUGAGGAAACCGAGGCUCAGAAAAGGUGUGGACCACAUUUGCACCAGCAGCUGGACAAAGGUGAGAGGCUGAGGGCUGCCCAGGCCCCUGGAGGACCAGAGAGAAGCCCGCUUAGGGCAGGCUGGCUACUUGUUUGUCCUGAUAAUGAAACUGAGGCUCACAGAGGACAAGUAAUUUCCUUGAGGCUUUAUGGAGACCAGAAUUCAGAGAUUCUGUCUUCAAAACUGUUUUCCUGGUGUGCUCUCCUGGAAGUCACAAUGUCACUCUGACCUUGAAGAAGAAGGCAGGAGACUUGUUCUUAAUAGAGUCCAGAAUUCCAAAAACUGAAUGCUCCACAAGCAUUUUCUUUUGGGGGCAAACGCUCUGAUUUAUAAUUACAUAAAGAUACCUCCCAACCGGUAACUUGAAAGCAGUAACAGUUGUUUCCUUCACUUCCAAAUGAACAACUGGAGCAGGAUUUGGAAGGAACGGAAGUUCUCUGCACAGCAUCAGCUAGUGGCUCGAGUGGGGCUGAGUAUUUAAUUCAAAGAUGACUCAUACCCAACUGGCAAAUUGGUUCUGACUCUUGGUCUCUCUUCACAGGGGCCUCUCCACAGUGUGUCUUGGGCUUCCUCACAGCAUGGUGGCUGACUUCUAAGAGUGAGAAUACUAAGAGGCAGAAGGGGAGAUGUGCCAACUUCUUAAAGCCCAGACCUAGAAACUGUACUGGGGAACCGCUGCCAUGUGCUAUUGGUCUGCUUAGAAUCAAGGAAGGGAGCAGAGAUCUCAUCUCCUAAUGGGAGAAGAGUCAAAGAAUUUGGGGGGACAUAUUUAAAAAACCCACAGCUCCUAACUUAGAAGCUUGGGAUUAUCACAUACACAUUACCGUAUAAUGAAAUAAUCAACAAGGACCUACUGCAUAGCGCAGGGAACUCUACUCAGUAUUCUGUGAUAAUCUGUAUGGGAAAAGAAUCUGAAAAAGAGUAGAUAUAUGUAUAUGUAUAACCAAACCAACCACUUUGCUGUACACGUGUGACUAACACAACAUUGUAAAUCAAUUAUAUUCCAAUAGAAAAUAAAAGUUAAAUUAAAAAGAUUAUGGCACAAGGAACUAUAUUUGAUAUCCUGUGAUAAACCAUAAUGGAACAGAAUAUGAAAAAGAGUGUAUAUAUAUAUGUGUGUGUGUGUGUGUGUGUGUGUAUAACUGAGCCACUUUGUUGUACAGCAGUGAUUAAUACAACAUUGUAAAGUAGUUACACUUGGG
ensembl:lncRNA